UGGAAAUGGAACUGCUAUUUUGUUUUCAAUGUUUUUUUAUGAUAAAUAUAUGGAAUUCACUAUGGUUUUAUGUUCUACAUGUAAUUACAGUAGUAACUACUAAGUAGCUGUUUCCUUGCUCAUAGUAAAGUUAAAUAUAUUUUCCAUGAAGUAUCUAGGUGUAAUACCUAAGCAAACACCACUAGUGAUUAUGAUUUGUAUUUAAUUAAUUUCAAAAAUUUCUUUGCAGAAACUCAAUCCCUACUGGCUUGACCUACUCCAUUAAAGUUCUCUUUUGUUAAUAAGAUUUCGCCUCAUUAUUUCAUCGUUCAUAGUUUUAUGUGUUUUGAUUGAGCAAGGUCAAUCCAAUACUAGACCAAGUAAAAUGCUAGCAUUUACAUAACAAUGAAGAUAUUUCGAAUAAUGUGCAUGUAGUUAAAUUUGGGAUUUUCAAUAGGCGGUACAAGAUUGACCUAGUCAUAGAUAUUGGGGUAGUUAGUGUGAGGUGUAUACACUUUGAACGGUAGUUACAUAUUUUCAGUAAGCACUGAUGUGAGUAGGAGAAAUUUAAGGGUUUUAUUUUAUCUCUUUGAUGUAAGGAUAAGUUUGAAGAAAGAUUCUGUAACAAGCAUUGAGAACACCUUUCAUUUAUCCUAACAAUAUUAUCACUAACCAAAAAUUUAAAGAAUCCUAACAAAACCCAACUAACUCAUCCAUAAUCUCUGCACAAAUCCUAACUAAUCCCUCUCCACUAAUCUCCUCACUAAAGCCCAACUCCCACACACCUUUCCUUUAUUUUAACAAACCCUCUCCCCUAAUCCCUCUCCCCUAACUGAAAUCUUAUUGGUUGCUAUGUAGAUUCUAUUAGUUUAGCUAUAUGAAAGGAUAAAAUAAAGUCUAUAGUACAGUGAUUUUUCCUCUCCAAGAAUCACGUUUACAUCCGAUGAUAUAGUUAAUAGCUAUGAUCCAAUUAUAUGUGUAGGUCACAUGCUCUUUCGCCAUUCAUUUGCAUCUAAUGUUGUAUUGCAUCAACUUAACCUUGAAAAGCCACUGGAGAGCAAAGAACCAAACCAAUAUAUAUUUUAGUAGCUUGUUUCUGACACUAUUAUUAGUUUGUCAUGCAUGAAGAUCCUAAGAACUAGACAGUUGUUUCUAAGUAAUCCUUUGUGCAUGAUGUGCUAAUUCUUUAUUACUCAUUUUGUGUCAUUCACUUUGGUAUGUAUUAGGAUGACAAAGAAAGGGAAACAAAUUGCAUCUCAGUUGAGAUCACAUGUUGUUUGGAAUCGUGAUAUGGACUCAGCUUUAGCUAAUCGUGAUAUGCACACUUAUAGUUGUGAUUUGCCUUCGUAGUAGAUAUCAUUUCUGUUUUAGAGCGUAUUUUGUUUCAUGAACUAAUUGAUGCC